ensembl:lncRNA
CAUAGCUGUACCACAGAGCUGUACCACAUUACUGUACCACAGAGCUGUACCACAUUACUGUACCACAUAGCUGUACCACGGAGCUGUACCACAGAGUAACAUUCUGUCCACCAACUGGUGCCCAGCCCACAUGGGCUUAUAGGACACCAUAUCAAGUAUCAAAACAUUACAUUAAACAAAUGUAAUGCCUUUAACAAUUAAAUGUGUAAUUAGCAAACACAUGUUCAAAUACAUACAGGUUCACAUACUGUACAAAUACAUACAGGUACACAUACUGUACAAAUACAUACAGGUUCACAUACUGUACAAAUACAUACAGGUACACAUACUGUACAAAUACAUACAGGUUCACAUACUGUACAAAUACAUAAAGGUACACAUACUGUACAAAUACAUAAAGGUACACAUACUGCUCAAAUACAUACAGGUACACAUACUGCUCAAAUACAUAAAGGUACACAUACUGCUCAAAUACAUAAAGGUACACAUACUGCUCAAAUACAUACAGGUACACAUACUGCUCAAAUACAUAAAGGUACACAU